rnacentral:rRNA from 2 species
GCUAUACAUGCAGUCGAGCGAACUGAUUAGAAGCUUGCUUCUAUGACGUUAGCGGCGGACGGGUGAGUAACACGUGGGCAACCUGCCUGUAAGACUGGGAUAACUUCGGGAAACCGAAGCUAAUACCGGAUAGGAUCUUCUCCUUCAUGGGAGAUGAUUGAAAGAUGGUUUCGGCUAUCACUUACAGAUGGGCCCGCGGUGCAUUAGCUAGUUGGUGAGGUAACGGCUCACCAAGGCAACGAUGCAUAGCCGACCUGAGAGGGUGAUCGGCCACACUGGGACUGAGACACGGCCCAGACUCCUACGGGAGGCAGCAGUAGGGAAUCUUCCGCAAUGGACGAAAGUCUGACGGAGCAACGCCGCGUGAGUGAUGAAGGCUUUCGGGUCGUAAAACUCUGUUGUUAGGGAAGAACAAGUACGAGAGUAACUGCUCGUACCUUGACGGUACCUAACCAGAAAGCCACGGCUAACUACGUGCCAGCAGCCGCGGUAAUACGUAGGUGGCAAGCGUUAUCCGGAAUUAUUGGGCGUAAAGCGCGCGCAGGCGGUUUCUUAAGUCUGAUGUGAAAGCCCACGGCUCAACCGUGGAGGGUCAUUGGAAACUGGGGAACUUGAGUGCAGAAGAGAAAAGCGGAAUUCCACGUGUAGCGGUGAAAUGC